GCAGACCACGUUAGAACCUCGGCUCCUGGAGUAGCAGAACCUCGGCUUCAAUGGGACCCUCAUUUCAUAAAUGAAGAAACUGAGAUUCAAAGAGGGGAACUACCGAAGGUUACAGAGCGAGUUCGUGGGCUUCCCAGAUGACCACCAAGGUGGAAGGGAUGAUGAUGUCCAGGCAGAAGGGAGCUAGGCCGGCCCAGGCUUUUCCUCUAGGCACAGCGGACUCCAGGUUCAGCCUUCCCGGAUGGAGGUCCCCUCUGACUUCCGACAGUAGAUGACCCUUCUGACUCACAGUUCUACUGCUGGGAAAUGCCUCCAGAGCUGCUGCCCACCCUCUCUGCAUCCCUCCAGAAGAGGAAAUGAGCUCAAAGGUCACUUGGCUAGUGUAUAGUCAUUAGUGCUGUCUCCAAAUAUUUCCGGCUCUCUGCCUUCUGGCACAAGACGAGGUCUUGCUCUGUCACCUAGGCUGGAGUACAGUGGUGCGAUCAUGGUUCACUGCAGCCUUGAGCUCCCUGGGCUCAAGGGAUCCUCCCAUCUUGGACUCCUGAGUAGCUGGGACCACAGGUGUGCACUGCACCACCAUGCCUGACUCAUUUUUGUAUGUUUGUAGAGACGGUUUCACCAUGUUGCCCAGGCUGGUCUUGAACUCCUUGGCUCAAGCAAUCUGUCAGCCUCAGCCUCCCAAAGUGCUGGGAUUACAGGCGUGAGCCAUUGUGCCUGGCAUAUUUAUUGUCUUGAUGGUGGUGAUGCUUCCAUGGGUGUAUGCUAAUACAUUUGUCAGACUAAUCAAAUUACACACUUUGAAUAUGUGCAGAUUAUUAUACAUUAAUCAUAUUAAAUACCUCAAUAAAGCUGUUGAAAAGUAA
rnacentral:lncRNA from 1 species